rnacentral:snoRNA from 1 species
GAAACUAUACUUUCAGGCAUCAUUGCUGUAGUUCGUGACUAGAGAAGUUUCUCUGAACGUGUAGAGCACCGGAAACCACGAGGAGGAGGCGGCGCAGCGUUCCUGGUGUUGCUUCCUGCAACCGCCAUUUGCCACUGAUGAUCAUUCUUCUCUCCCUGGGAGGAAGGAGAGGGAGAGGACGCACUCUGAGUGGU